GGUCAAACUAUAGACCCUUCUCCUAUCCUUUCCUUUCCUCCCCUCUCUCCUCUCCUCUCCCCUUCUGUCCUGUCAUUUUCCUCCCUCCCUCUCAUCUCUCCUCAUCCUCUCCUUUCCUGUUCUGUCCUGUAUUGUCCUUUUCCUCUCCUCUCCUCACCUCCCUCCCUCUCCUCCCCUCCUCUCUCUCCUCUUCUCUAUCCUCUCUCGCUCUCCUCUCCUCUGCUCUCCUCUCCUCCCUCUCCUCUCCUCCUCCUCUCCUCUCCCUUCCUCUCCUCCUCCAUCUCCUCCUCCUCUCUCUUCCUGUUCUGUCCUGUAUUUCCUUUUCCUCUCCUCUCCUCCUCCUCCUCCCCUCUCUCCUCCUCUCUCUCCGCCUCUCCUCUCCGUCUCCUCCUCUCCUCCCCUCUCCUCUCCUCCCUCCUCUCCUCCCUCUCUCUCCCCUCCCACUCUCUCCUUUCCUCUCCUCCUCCUCUCCUUCUCCUCUCUCCUCUCCUCUCCCCCCUUUCCUCCUUCCUCUCCUCCCUCUCCUCUCCUCCUCCUCCCUCUCUCCCUCUCCUCCUCUCCUCGCUCCUCUCCUCUCCUCUCCUCUCCCCUCUCCUCGCCCUCUCUCUCCUCUCCUCUCCUCUCCUCUCCUCUCCCUCUCUCUCUCCUCUCCUCUCCUCUCUCUCUCCCUCCUCUCUCUCCUCUCCUCUCCUCUCCUCUCCUCCUCCUCUCUCCUCUCGCUCUUCCUCCCCCUCCUCCCUCUCCUCUCCCUCCCUCUCCUCUCAUCGCCUUCUCUCUCCUCUCCUCUUCCUCUCCCUUCUCUCCCUCUCCUCUCCUCUCCUCUCCUCUCUCUCCCUCCCUCUCCUCUCCUCUCCUCUCCUCGCCCUCUCCCGUCAUCCUCCUCUCCUCUCCUCUCCUCCCCUCCCCUCUCCUCCCCUCCUCCUCCUCUCCUCUCCUCCCCCUCCUUUUCGGCUCCCUCUAUUACAACACUUGAUCUUUCCCUUUUCUGCUCCUCAUGUCGGGGCUCAGGAGAGCAAAUAUCAAUGUCUUUCAGCUAGAUUCCUACUCAAAAGGCAGGGGAUUACCCCCAAUACAGUGUGUGUGUGUGUGUGUGUGUGUGGUGUGUGUGUGUGUGUGUGUGUGUGUGUGUGUGUGUGUGUGUGUGUGUGUACAGUAUGA
rnacentral:lncRNA from 1 species